GGGCCCGGGGCAGCUAUUGGGGACUGACGGGGCCGCCGUGUGUCUGUCUCGCAAGCUGGGUGACCUGCGUGGCCCUGAGGCGCUGGGGAGAAGAUGGCGGCGGCGGCUGCCCGAGCGCGGCCGGGGCUGGGCGCCUCGUGCGCGGCUGAGGGAAAAAUGGUGUCUUGAAGUAUAAGAAUCUGUAGACUUCGAUAUUUCGGAGGAGUGAGAUGCCUGCGGGAGAGGUGGCAAGCAGCUCCCUUGAGCUAUGGUGGGCCUUGGACCAGACCUAAUCUGGGUGGAAAGGAGAACUUGGGUCAUGGCUUACCAAGACUUGAUGGAAAAGUGGAGCCUUCUAUUCUUCAGACCCUCUUAAUACACAGAUUCAAGGUCAAGAGCUGAAACUGGAUAUUGCAUAAUUAUGUGUCCAUAUCGCAGACCCAACAGGCUUGCAAUAGAAGAACAUCCAAAUGAGCCUGAGAAUUAGCAACUUUUUUUUUGGUGAGCACUACCAAAUGUCUCUGCUCACUCUUGUACAAGUAAAAGAUGCGUACUGUUGAGUGCACAAAUUAAAAUGUUCAAAUCAUUGUA